rnacentral:rRNA from 1 species
ACGUGAUACAUUGGCAGGUACAAUGGGGGAAGCCGCGAGGUGAAGGAAAUCCCAAAAACCUGUCUCAGUUCGGAUUGAAGUCUGCAACUCGACUUCAUGAAGUUGGAAUCGCUAGUAAUCGUAGAUCAGCACGCUGCGGUGAAUACGUUCCCGGGCCUUGUACACACCGCCCGUCAAGCCAUGGAAGCCGGGGGCGCCCGAAGCGGCACUCAGUGUCGUUAAGGCGAACUUGGUAACUGGGGCUAAGUCGUAACAAGGUAGCCGUAUCGGAAGG